rnacentral:rRNA from 1 species
AGUGAACGCUGGCGGUAGGCCUAACACAUGCAAGUCGAACGGCAGCACAGAGGAGCUUGCUCCUUGGGUGGCGAGUGGCGGACGGGUGAGGAAUACAUCGGAAUCUACUCUGUCGUGGGGGAUAACGUAGGGAAACUUACGCUAAUACCGCAUACGACCUACGGGUGAAAGCAGGGGAUCUUCGGACCUUGCGCGAUUGAAUGAGCCGAUGUCGGAUGAGCUAGUUGGCGGGGUAAAGGCCCACCAAGGCGACGAUCCGUAGCUGGUCUGAGAGGAUGAUCAGCCACACUGGAACUGAGACACGGUCCAGACUCCUACGGGAGGCAGCAGUGGGGAAUAUUGGACAAUGGGCGCAAGCCUGAUCCAGCCAUACUGCGUGGGUGAAGAAGGCCUUCGGGUUGUAAAGCCCUUUUGUUGGGAAAGAAAUCCAGCUGGCUAAUACCCGGUUGGGAUGACGGUACCCAAAGAAUAAGCACCGGCUAACUUCGUGCCAGCAGCCGCCGUAA